CUGUUUUGAGAAAACAGUAUUUAAAACAUUUGAACUUUUGCUUGAAUAUCUUAUAUUUCGAAAAACAGUAUAAACUGUACGGUCUAAAUUUAGUUUGCACGGUCUAAAUUUAGUUUGCACGAAAGUCGUAAACAACACCAUAUAAGGAUAGACAUUCCAUAUUUGGAAAAACGAACGUUACGGGGCAGAUAUUCAAAUUCAUUAGUCAUCGAUGCAGGCUCUCAAUUCAGCUUGAGAGCCUGUUCGCAGGCUAGCAGU